AUUGAACGCUGGCGGCAGGCCUAACACAUGCAAGUCGAACGAGUGGCGGACGGGUGAGUAAUGUCUGGGAAACUGCCUGAUGGAGGGGGCUAACUACUGGAAACGGUAGCUAAUACCGCAUACCAUCGGAUGUGCCCAGCUGGGAUUAGCUAGUAGGUGGGGUAAAGGCUCAACUAGGCGACGAUACCUAGCUGGUCUGAGAGGAGGACCAGCCACACGGGGACUGAGACACGGUCCAGACUCCGACGGGAGGCAGCAGUGGGGAAUAUUGCACAAUGGGGGAAAGCCUGAUGCAGCCAUGCCGCGUGUAUGAAGAAGGCCUUCGGGUUGUAAAGUACUGUCAGCGGGGAGGCGUUACCCGCAGAAGAAGCACCGGCUAACUCCGUGCCAGCAGCCGCGGUAAUAC
rnacentral:rRNA from 1 species